GCCCGGUUAGCUCAAUCGGUAGAGCGUGAGGUACGUUCUUUCUGCCUCUGCUCAUCUUCCGUUCAUCUUAUUAAUUCCUAGACAGACUUUUACUUUCAGAGUUUAUCUCAAGGUUGCGGGUUCGAGCCCCGCAUCGGGCU
rnacentral:tRNA from 1 species